rnacentral:rRNA from 1 species
CCUACGGGUGGCUGCAGUGGGGAAUAUUGGGCAAUGGGCGCAAGCCUGACCCAGCAACGCCGCGUGAAGGAAGAAGGCCCUCGGGUUGUAAACUUCUUUUAUUCGGGACGAAACAAAUGACGGUACCGCAUUAAUACGCCACGGCUAACUACGUGCCAGCAGCCGCGGUAAUACGGAGGUGGCAAGCGUUAUCCGGAUUUACUGGGUGUAAAGGGCGUGUAGGCGGGAGAGCAAGUCAGACGUGAAAUUCCAGGGCUCAACCCUGGAACUGCGUUUGAAACUGUUCUGCUUGAGUGAUGGAGAGGCAGGCGGAAUUCCGUGUGUAGCGGUGAAAUGCGUAGAUAUACGGAGGAACACCAGUGGCGAAGGCGAUUCACUGGACUGUAACUGACACUGAGGCACGAAAGCGUGGGGAGCAAACAGGAUUAGAUACCCUUGUAGUC